rnacentral:rRNA from 1 species
GACGAACGCUGGCGGCGUGCUUAACACAUGCAAGUCGAACGGAAAGGCCUUGCUUUUGUGGGGUGCUCGAGUGGCGAACGGGUGAGUAACACGUGAGUAACCUGCCCUUGACUUUGGGAUAACUUCAGGAAACUGGGGCUAAUACCGGAUAGGAGCUCCUGCUGCAUGGUGGGGGUUGGAAAGUUUCGGCGGUUGGGGAUGGACUCGCGGCUUAUCAGCUUGUUGGUGGGGUAGUGGCUUACCAAGGCUUUGACGGGUAGCCGGCCUGCGAGGGUGACCGGCCACAUUGGGACUGAGAUACGGCCCAGACUCCUACGGGAGGCAGCAGUGGGGAAUAUUGCACAAUGGGCGGAAGCCUGAUGCAGCAACGCCGCGUGCGGGAUGACGGCCUUCGGGUUGUAAUCCGCUUUCGCCUGUGACGAAGCGUGAGUGACGGUAAUGGGUAAAGAAGCACCGGCUAACUACGUG